rnacentral:rRNA from 1 species
UACGUAGGGGGCAAGCGUUAUCCGGAUUUACUGGGUGUAAAGGGAGCGUAGACGGAUGGACAAGUCUGAUGUGAAAGGCUGGGGCUCAACCCCGGGACUGCAUUGGAAACUGUCCGUCUUGAGUGCCGGAGAGGUAAGCGGAAUUCCUAGUGUAGCGGUGAAAUGCGUAGAUAUUAGGAGGAACACCAGUGGCGAAGGCGGCUUACUGGACGGUAACUGACGUUGAGGCUCGAAAGCGUGGGGAGCAAACAGG